rnacentral:rRNA from 1 species
UACAGGGGGGGCAAGCGUUGUUCGGAAUUACUGGGCGUAAAGGGCUCGUAGGCGGCCAACUAAGUCACACGUGAAAUCCCCAGGCUUAACCUGGGAACUGCGUGUGAUACUGGAUGGCUUGAAUCCGGGAGAGGGAUGCGGAAUUCCAGGUGUAGCGGUGAAAUGCGUAGAUAUCUGGAGGAACACCUGUGGCGAAAGCGGCUCACUGGACCACAACUGACGCUGAUGCACGAAAGCUAGGGGAGCAAACAGG